GACGUAGGGCGCGAGCGUUGUCCGGAUUUAUUGGGCGUAAAAGCUCGUAGGCGGGUUGUCGCGUCGUCCGUGAAAACCUGCAGCUCAACUGCAGGCUUGCGGUCGAUACGGGCAGGCUAGAGUUCGGUAGGGGAGACUGGAAUUCCUGGUGUAGCGGUGAAAUGCGCAGAUAUCAGGAGGAACACCGGUGGCGAAGGCGGGUCUCUGGGCCGAUACUGACGCUGAGGAGCGAAAGCGUGGGGAGCGAACAGG
rnacentral:rRNA from 1 species